rnacentral:rRNA from 1 species
UGGCUCAGAGCGAACGCUGGCGGCAGGCUUAACACAUGCAAGUCGAGCGGGCGUAGCAAUACGUCAGCGGCAGACGGGUGAGUAACGCGUGGGAACAUACCUUUUGGUUCGGAACAACACAGGGAAACUUGUGCUAAUACCGGAUAAGCCCUUACGGGGAAAGAUUUAUCGCCGAAAGAUUGGCCCGCGUCUGAUUAGCUAGUUGGUGAGGUAAUGGCUCACCAAGGCGACGAUCAGUAGCUGGUCUGAGAGGAUGAUCAGCCACAUUGGGACUGAGACACGGCCCAAACUCCUACGGGAGGCAGCAGUGGGGAAUAUUGGACAAUGGGCGCAAGCCUGAUCCAGCCAUGCCGCGUGAGUGAUGAAGGCCCUAGGGUUGUAAAGCUCUUUUGUGCGGGAAGAUAAUGA